ACUUAAAUAGUUUAAAAAAAAUUUAGAUUUGUGGAGUCUAAGAUGUAAUAGAUUACUUUGAGUA
rnacentral:tRNA from 1 species